rnacentral:rRNA from 1 species
AGCGAACGCUGGCGGCAGGCCUAACACAUGCAAGUCGAACGAAUGCUUCGGGCUUACUGGUGGACUGGUGGGCGACACGUGGGAACAUGCCUUUGAGUUUGGAAUGACUCAGGGAAACAUGUCCUAAUACGGAAUGUGCUCCUGCGGGGGAAGAGUGAUCGCCAUUGGAGCGGCCUGCGACCGAUUAGUUUGUUGGUGAGGUAACGGCUCACCAAGGGGACGUUGAGUAACUGGUUUGAGAGGAUGACCAGCCACACUGGGCCUGAGACACGGACGAGACUCCUACGGGAAGCAGCAGUGGGGAAUCUUGCGCAAUGGGCGAGAGCGUGACGCAGCCAUGCCGCGUGAAUGAUGAAGGUCUGAGGAUUGUAAAAUUCUUUCAACGGGGACGAUAAUGACGGUACCCGGAGAAGAAGCCCCGGCUAACUUCGUG